CGGAGUGUAGCGCAGCCUGGUAGCGCACCUGAUUUGGGAUCAGGGGGUCGCAGGUUCGAAUCCUGCCACUCCGA
rfam:Mesorhizobium australicum strain B5P genome assembly, contig: Ga0048943_14